rnacentral:rRNA from 1 species
GUAUAGAGGGUGAAAUUCUGCCCAAUGGUUGUAUAGUGAAACUGAGGACUAACGUCUAAAGCGAAACCCAACUGAAUGGCCGCGGUAACUCUGACCGUGAUAAUGUAGCACAAUAAAUAGCCAAUUAAUUGUUGGCGGGUAUGAAUGGAACCACGAGGGUCUUACUGUCUCAAGAGGAAAGCCGAUGAAAUUAUAAUUGUAGUGAAGAUACUACAUAAACAUUGUAAGACGAAAAGACCCUAUCGAGCUUUACUGGAUACCGAUAGCGUUAAUUUAAAAUGAUCGAUACUAAGUAUCCUAAUUUUAAGUUAAUAAAUUUUGUUGGUAGGACAGUUUAGUUGGGGCGACUACCUUUGAAUAAGAAACGAAGGCGAGCUUAUGGUAUUAAUAAAAUCUCAUUAGCCUCACAGUGAGGGGGACACCCCUAGCUGGCACAAGGACCGCGCACAGCGGGGUUCUAUGUGGGCGAUAGUGACCCGAUAUGAUUAUCCAAAAUAAAUAUCGAAAGCGGAUAAAAGCUACCGUAGGGAUAACAGCGUAAUAUUGUCGGAGAGUUCUUAUCGAGGACAGUGUUUGCGACCUCGAUGUUGAAUUGCGGUGCCCUGGUGCUGUAGAAGGUACCUUAGGUUGGUC